rnacentral:lncRNA from 1 species
UUCCCCACGCACGCCCUAUCGUCCUCACGAGUCGACUUCACCAACACCUCGCUCCUCACCGUCCGAUCUCUCUACCACGACCAGGUGCAUGGCCGUGUAAAGCCAAAUCGUCGCACCGUCGCAGGAGCCCGUGCGAGGAGUCCCUCGAUCCAAUCCUCGCCCUCGUCGGCUUUGGCGGCCAUGCGCCCUCUCCCGAGCAAAAUCCCUCCCGUCAUAUCCAGCACGAACCGCCGUGCCUGCGCAGUAGCCCACGACGCUCACGCGACCAGUGCCGCCCACGCAAAGAUGAUGGUGUAAGCCGCGUUAUAUAUCAAGAGGAGUCCCUAGAUCCAAUCCUUGCCCUCGCCCUCGCCAACGUCGACGACCCAGCCUGUCUCCAUCUCUAACUCGUCUGAGUCUUUCGUCGAUGCCGUCAUGCGCCGCUGUGUUGGCACCGACGCAACACUCAUGUUCUCCGACAAAGAAAAUACGAACACCGGUGUCACCUGUCUGUCUUCAUAUCAUGUCCGGACUCGAAACAUCCAGGGGCUAGCGACAUUAGCAAGCUAUAUGUUUAGCGGAACCACCCUUCCAGUAGCAAAGUUCUCUCUCUCUCUCAUUUUAUUUUUACAUGCUUGCACAUUGCUCCGUGUUGCUAUUGCUGUAUGAACAAGUGAACUGCUGUUGUUGACUUGUUGUAACAAUGGAAGUGAGCUGCUGAUUUUUGAAUAAAAUUUACUUGUCUGCAGAUUCGUAUAUUUGCAGAAGAAAGGUAGAAUUGACCUUGUGUACUAACUUUUGUAUGAUUGUCGAUGAACGCCAAAUGUUGUGGAGGUGACGCACUCGGCCAGUGAGUAGCUCCAAGUCCACUCAUUAAUUGAGAAGGUCAUCCACCUUGAUGCAAAUUGUUGGUUUCACAAAGAACCUAAACUGGUUUAAUUUUGUUCAGUUCAAUUUGAUUCAGUUGGCAGUGUUAAAUUCCCUGAUGCAACAUUUGUUUGGCAGGUUUUUACUCCAAUGUACUCCCUGAGAUUGAAGUAGGAGAGAAAGAAAAAAGACAUCAUUGCAUUUUCGGGUUCAGUGGUAAAUGCUGCCAUACGUCAAUGAUCCCGGAUAUGACUUGCUUAUAUAUGAAGUCUUGUUGCUGGUGGGACAUAUCUCCAACUAAUAUUUUGUCUGUUUUUAACAUGUUCUGGUUGUUGAAAAAAAAAUGAUACCCUCUUUUCUCUUAUGUGAUGCUCAUGUUGCAUGAUGCAGCAACCGCUUCAGGGUUAGAAAAAGAAGUUGGAGUAAAUCCUUGUGGUGUAGAAUUCGAGGCAUUAGUGAAAACAGUAACGAAGGCAACAACAUCUAAAGAAAAUUUUGAUUUUUGCUCACUAUGAUCUUCUUCAAUUUUUUAAGGGCAUGUGAUGUCCUAACCACAUGAGGUGGGUAGUGGGGCCCGUCUAUCAACACCCACUAGAUAGGGCCAGGACCCACUGCUGCAGCACUUCACCGGCCACCCCUGCCAGGUCUAGCGAGGUAUGUUCUGCUCUCCCUCCUUUCUCUCCUGUCAAUUCCUGUCCACUCACCUCCUGUCCUCUUUCUUUUUUUGCAUGCAAGAUGUUGUUAAGUCACAACUGAGGGAAUAAUCAGAUGGAUAGUACUCACAUUCCCAAGUUGGUCGAUGGGGGAAAAAGUGAUCGAUGAUAGUAAAAUUGAACAUUCGUUGUCAGACUAAUGAUACUAGCAAUGUAGAACACAUGUUCUAUGUCCUAAACAUCGAGGAGGGCCACUUGUCAGCUUCAACAAUUUCCUCCAAUUUCCCACAUUCUCCUUGCACGGUGUGUAGCAAGGGAGGCGAGCAUGGCAAGCAGUGCAAGGAGCACAAGCACGCUGAUGGCCACCGCCAUGGGGUGUGGUUGCAAAAGCUGAUGAAGAGCCUCUGCGUGACGAGGACGAUGUCGCAUGGCAGGGUUGAGAGGCAGCACAGAGAGGGCUCCGAAGAGUUGGUCGCCAGGAGUAGUCGCCAAUGGGGAGUGUUAUGAUGAGGAGGGAUGAAUCAGAAGUUAUUUUUCCUUGUUGCGAGUAGUCAAAUUUUGAUUGACCAAGCUUCUGUUUAAUGGUGCUUUUCUAUACACAUGAGUCUCACACUUUCUCAUGAACAAUAGUAAAUUUUCACAUUUAUCUAUAUCUUUUUCUUACUUAAUAGGUGGAUUUUCUCUAAUGAUUCUGCAACCCUCGAGGAGGUGAGGUUUCCAUCAAAUGAUUUUACAGUUCAUUUGGUCUCGACUCUCGACAAUGGGUGAUAGUAAUCUGCACUCCUACUGCUAAGUGCAGAGUAAGUACUAAGAAUUUGUCUUAUUAUAUAUACACAUGACAUAUAUCAAAAUGAACAUGAAGGAUAUAGGUGCUACUCAGAAAAUGCUGAGAAAUAUGAGUUUCUCAUAGUACCUAUUUAGUUGGACGAAAGCAUAGAUUGAAGAUGGACAUAUCAGAUGUGCUUGCUUGAUAGGUUGCUUAUUUAGUUAUGCAGAUGCAAUGAUGCUUCCUUCGAUGGGGAUAAUGUGUUCUUUUUUUAAUGUUUUCUCACUUGCUUCUUGCUUGUAUACUAGGCUAUGUCGCUAGAUUUUAGAGAGAAUUUUUUCUUCGAACAAGACUACCAAGGAAGCAUCAGGGAAAAUAUAUCUAUUGCAGUCGAGAUUAUUUGAUUUAAUUCUAAUAUGUCAAGCUUCUGAAAAUUCACUAUGUACAAUGAUUUGUUGAUUUGAUAUUUGUCGAAUGUAGUAAUAAGCACCAUAUACGACACAUAAAUUCUUGUUUUUUCAGUGGGACACAUCUUUGUGGAGUACAUUUUUAUAACAAUGACUAUAACUCAAGAUCUCUAUGCAUAAAUUUAUCAUUUUCUGUGAUUGUGAGGAGAUAUUUCUCU